rnacentral:rRNA from 1 species
UAUACAACCUCAACUCAUAUGGGACUACCCCCUGAAUUUAAGCAUAUUAUAAGCGGAAG